ACAAGCCGGUUGCUUAAGCAACACCCCAGGAGAACCGGCAGAGGAGACACAAGCAGAAAACUAAACGGGCCAGAUGUGGCGCUGACUAGGCGGGCUCCAGCCCGCUGCAAGACGCGCUGUGCAGGAAGUCCCACAGCCGCCCAGGCGCUGCGACGCCAGCCAGAGCUAAAACACAUGGGCGCCAGAUAAGCUGAUGACGAUAAACGCCACGCCAGCGCCUGGAAUGAACCGCCGCCCAAAAGGAAACCUAGGGGGCCUGCACAGGUGAUGCAAGCGUCAGCCGCAAGUGCAACUUCGGUGACCCACCCUGAACCUCCUCCACUUCACAAAGCGCGCCACCCGCCGUC
rnacentral:lncRNA from 1 species